AUUCCGGUUGAUCCCGCCGGAGACUACUACUAUCAGGAUUCGGCUUAGCCAUGCGAGGUACUUGUAGCAAUACAAACCGUACUGCUCAGUAACACGUAGUCAACCUGCCCUAUAGACGGGGAUAAUCCUGGGAAACUGGGCGUAAUACCCGAUAGGCGAUAAUUGCUGGAAGGCUUUUUCGCUUAAAGCAGCAAUGUGCUAUAGGAUGGGACUGCGACGGAUUAGCUUGUUGUUGAGGUAAUUGCUCAACAAGGCUAUAAUCCGUACGGGUCGUGAGAGCGAUUGCCCGGAGAUGGCUUCUGAGACAUGAAGCCAGGCCCUACGGGGCGCAGCAGGCGCGAAAACUUCGCAAUGCCCGAAAGGGUGACGAGGGAAUCCUGAGUGAUAUCGCAAUGCGGUAUCUUUUACUUACUGUAAAAAGGUAAGCGAAUAAGAGGUGGGUAAGACGGUUGCCAGCCGCCGCGGUAAUUCGAAGAAUCGUAACAAACAUUCUUCUGGCAGUUUUAUUUGAUUAUGAAAAUAGUCAAAUGAUUCUUGAAUAAGCAAUGACGCAUUUAUGCGUCGUACGACACGGGUUCUUCGAACCGUAAAUAACCGCGCCUCAAGUUGUAGUCACGUUUAUUGGGCCUAAAGCGUCCGUAGCUGGUUUGAUAAGUCUUUGGUGAAAUCCAACAGCAAACUGUUGGGAUGGCUGGAGAUACUAUCAGACUCGAGACCGGGAGAGGUCAGGGGUAUUUCACGGGUAAGAGUAAAAUCUUUUAAUCCGUGAAGGACCACCUGUGGCGAAGGCGCCUGACUGGAACGGGUCUGACAGUGAGGGACGAAAGCGUGGGGAGCAACCGGGAUUAGAUAUUGAGAAAUUCCGAUUGGGAGAUUUUCGAAUUUCUCAAUUUAGUGAAAAAUGGAAUUUUUCAACUAAAUACCCCGUUAGUCCACGCUGUAAACGAUGCCCAUUUGGUGUCACACAAUCUUCGAGAUUCUGUGGUGCCGUAGCGAAGGUGUUAAAUGGGCCGCCUGGGGAGUACGACCGCAAGGUUGAAACUUAAGGGAAUUGGCGGGGGAGCACUACCAGGGGUGGAGGCUGCGGUUUAAUUGGAUUCAACGCCAGGAACCUUACCCGUGAAGACAGCAGAAUGAGGGUCACUCUAAAGGGGUUACCUGACAAGCUGAGAAGUGCUGCAUGGCCGUCGUCAGUUCGUGCUGUGAAGUGUCGUGUUAAGUCACGAAACGAACGAGACCCGUGCCGCUAGUUGCUACUAUCCUCCCCGGAGGGUAGGCACUCUAGCGGGACCGCUGUUGCUAAAACAGAGGAAGGAGCGGGCUACGGCAGGUCAGUAUGGCCUGAAUUUACGGGGAUACACGCGGCCUACAAUGCGUAGGACAACGGGAUGCAACGCCGUAAGGCGAAGCCAAUCUCUUAAACCUACGCUUAGUUCGGAUCGAGGGCUGCAACUCGCCCUCGUGAAGCCGGAAUCCCUAGUAAGCGAAGGUCAUCAACGGAGCAAGUGCAAGAUGAUUUUUUGGCGAGACGAACAGAGUGUCAGAACGGUUUGACUAUGAGGAAAUUCUUGUUGACGCAGGAAUUUCCGGUGAAUAUAGACUGGGCGGAUGACACUUUAAUUUGUCUAUAGCAGCACUAUGAUGCAUUUGCUUCAGUGGAAUCUUUCGCUGAAUACGUCCCUGCUCCUUGCACACACCGCCCGUCAAACCAUCCGAGUGGACUUUUGGUGAAGCUCGCGUAGAGCGAUUUGAAUCACAAGUCUGCAAGGAGGGUUAAGUCGUAACUUUAAAAGUCGACUAAGACAAGUAUUAUCAUGAAUGAGCACAUCGCGUAUCUACAUGGUGCGCUUCAUGAUGGCUACGUGUAUAGAGGCAAGCAAAAAGGUGAAGUUGCCGUCAUUACCCAGAAAAACAGGGAAUGGCUGGAACGCUUACGCCAGAUAAUUGCCGUAUUGGAGUCCAAUUCGUGGAUUUUUCAACAAAGAAAUAUACAUGUUUUGGAAACGAAACUUCCUGAACUUCUGAAACCGAUCGAUGUUUCGACACUCAAUAGAAAGCAAGGAUUGGCGUAUGUUGCAGGAUUUUUUGAUGCAGAAGGAGGCAUUCCCCAUGACAUCAAAAAGUUCUUCUACGUACAGUUCGUCCAGAAGAAAAAGGAAAAGCUGGACGAGAUUGUGGCAAUUCUUGAAAAAUCUGGAAUAAGGUGUGGCAAAGUUCACCAGUAUGACAAGAAGACUGGUUGCUGGAGAUUUUUUAUAAGCAGAGAAUCUCAUCUGAGAUUCAUUAAGUUGAUAAAAUCCAAGCAUCCUGAGAAACAAACACGCUUGCUCUCUUUUCAACGGCUUUUAGAGCGACAAACAAGGUAACCGUACGGGAACGUGCGGUUGGAUCACCUCC
rnacentral:rRNA from 2 species